rnacentral:tRNA from 1 species
GCCGAAGUGGCGGAAUUGGCAGACGCGCUAGAUUCAGGGUCUAGUCCCCGUAAGGGCGGUGGAGGUUCGAGUCCUCUCUUCGGCACCA